GUAAAACAUGUUAAAAGAUACAUGAAUGAGAACUAGAUUUUAAAGAAAAAAAAAAAAAAGAAAAGAAUUAUAUUAUAAAUGUAUAUCAUAAGUAACAAUUUUUGAUUUUUAUUAUUAACUCUUCUCCUCUACAGAGAGAGUCUGUAUACAAUAUCUUCAGACAUAAAUAUUGUGCGAAUCUAUAAAUUAUAGAAAUACAUGUAUGUACACACACGCAACAACUGAUAUAUGUAUACAUUUCCUAAGAAAAUGUACAAUUUUAUGAAUAUAAAGAAAUAUAUAUAUGUACUUUAUUUUAUACAUCACAAAUCUCUGUAG
rnacentral:lncRNA from 1 species